GUUAACUUCAACAAGCAUGCUGGCCUGGAGACUACAUAAUGGUGUAUCGGUUAUGAUAAGAGCAUCCUUUUCCCUAGUGUCACUAGGUUACAUCGUGCCUUUUCUCUUCCACAUGACGGAGAUCUUCAAAGUAAGCAUCUUUCAAAGCAGUGACAAGCAAAAUACAGCUGGAAGAUCAGUAACUCUCUGUUAAGCAGCUUUGCUUGCUGUCAUUGUUGACUGCCAGGGGGUGGUGAUCCAUGUCAGUCACUAAAAUGACACCUUGGCAAGACUGCUGUCUGCUCCUGGAGUUUUUGUGUAUGGAAACAAUUUUAAGGUAAUGAGAUUUUCAUAUAUUUCUAGCACCUUUCACAGGGU
rnacentral:lncRNA from 1 species